rnacentral:lncRNA from 1 species
AUAAAGUGUAACCGUUGGUCUCUGUGGAUUUGAUCCUAAAGUGCUACAGCGACAUACCAUUUGAUUGUGGUAGUGUGCACAUUAGGUUAAUUGGUGUGCAUAUACACGUAAUAUCAGUUGUUGAUGGCUCGGCAGUCCACGAACAUGUGCCAGGAUCCAUCCUUACUGGGAACAAGGAGGACAGGAACGGCACAAGGGCUGAG